rnacentral:rRNA from 1 species
UACGGAGGGGGCUAGCGUUGUUCGGAAUUACUGGGCGUAAAGCGCACGUAGGCGGCUUUGUAAGUUAGAGGUGAAAGCCUGGGGCUCAACUCCAGAAUUGCCUUUAAGACUGCAUCGCUUGAAUCAUGGAGAGGCGGGUGGAAUUCCGAGUGUAGAGGUGAAAUUCGUAGAUAUUCGGAAGAACACCAGUGGCGAAGGCGGCCCGCUGGACAUGUAUUGACGCUGAGGUGCGAAAGCGUGGGGAGCAAACAGG